UUACAUUUCUCAGAAAAAACAAACAAUUACAAGAGAGGCAUAUACUGUAUUUACUUCACAAUGUGUAAGUCUGUACAGUUCUGUUAGAUCUAAAUUCUUGUAAGAAGUGGAUUUAUACUGUAGAAGGGAAACAUUGUACCAAAGAUGUUUAGUGUUCUGACAUUUUACUACAGAAAGGUUUGUAAGGAGUUAAAGAGAUACAAUAAGUAAUAUAUUACAGAAGUUAUAACAUUUUCUAGAAGGGGAGAUAUUGGCAUUGUAUUAGCCUUUGAGUAAGAACACAAGGCAUAUGACAAGAAGAAAAAAAUUAGGGAUAGGUAAUAAGAAGUUUGCACUUUCACUAGAGGUCUCAACCUGAACAUGAACAUGACCAGGACUGGGUAAAGAAUUAACUGCUAGGUGUAGCUGUUUCACUGAUUAACUUUGUCCUUGUUUUUGCAACUAUUACAUAAAGGUACUAGUAUGGGUAAGGUAUUAACUGCUAGGUGUAGCUGUUUCACUGAUUAACUUUGUCCUUGUUUUUGUAACUAUUACAUAAAGGUACUAUUAUGGGUAAGGUAUUAACUGCUAGGUGUAGCUGUUUCACGGAUUAACUUUGUCCUUGUUUUUGUAACUAUUACAUAAAGGUACUAUUAUGGGUAAGGUAUUAACUGCUAGAUGUAGCUGUUUCAAUGAUUAACUUUGUCCUUGUUUUUGUAACUAUUACAUAAAGGUACUAUUAUGGAUAAGGUAUUAACUGCUAGGUGUAGCUGUUUCAUGGAUUAACUUUGUCCUUGUUUUUGUAACUAUUACAUAAAGGUACUAUUAUGGGUAAGGUAUUAACUGCUAGGUGUAGCUGUUUCAUGGAUUAAAACUUUGUCCUUGUUUUUGUAACUAUUAUAUAAAGGUACUAUUAUGGGUAAGGUAUUAACUGCUAGGUGUAACUGUUUCACUAAUUAACUUUGUCCUUGUUUUUGUAACUAUUAUAUAAAGGUACUAUUAUAGGUAAGGUAUUAACUGCCAGGUGUAGCUGUUUCAUGGAUUAACUCUGUCCUUGUUUUUAUAACUACUAUUUAAAGAUACUAUUAUGGUAAGGUAUUAACUGCUAGGUGUAGCUGUUUCACUGAUUAACUUUGUCCUUGUUUUUGUAACUAUUACAUAAAGGUACUAUUAUGGGUAAGGUAUUAACUGCUAGGUGUAGCUGUUUCAUUGAUUAACCUUGUCCUUGUUUUUGUAACUAUUAUAUAAAGGUACUAUUAUGGGUAAGGUAUUAACUGCUAGGUGUAGCUGUUUCACCGAUUAACUUUGUCCUUGUUUUUAUAACUACUAUUUAAAGGUACUAAUAUGGGUAAGGUAUUAACUGCUAGGUGUAGCUGUUUCACUGAUUAACUUUGUCUUUGUUUUUGUAACUAUUAUAUAAAGGUACUAUUAUGGGUAAGGUAUUAACUGCUAGGUGUAGUUGUUUCAUUGAUUAACUUUGUCCUUGUUUUUGUAACUAUUAUAUAAAGGUACUAUUAUGGGUAAUGUAUUAACUGAUAGGUGUAGCUGUUUCAUUGAUUAACUUUGUCCUUGUUUUUGUAACUAUUAUAUAAAGGUACUAUUAUGGGUAAGGUAUUAACUGCUAGGUGUAGCUGUUUCACUGAUUAACUUUGUCCUUGUUUUUGUAACUAUUAUAUAAAGGUACUAUUAUGGGUAAGGUAUUAACUGCUAGGUGUAGCUGUUUCAUGGAUUAACUUUGUCCUUGUUUUUGUAACUAUUACAUAAAGGUACUAUUAUGGGUAAGGUAUUAACUGCUAGGUGUAGCUGUUUCAUUGAUUAACUUUGUCCUUGUUUUUGUAACUAUUAUAUAAAGGUACUAUUAUGGGUAAGGUAUUAACUGCUAGGUGUAGCUGUUUCAUGGAUUAACUUUGUCCUUGUUUUUGUAACUAUUAUAUAAAGGUACUAUUAUGGGUAAGGUAUUAACUGCUAGGUGUAGCUGUUUCACUGAUUAACUUUGUCCUUGUUUUUGUAACUAUUAUAUAA